GGAUUAAUGAUGAGCUGUGUUUACUGAGCAUAAUGAAAUGACGCUCAAAAUAAUUACUCUGAAGUCU
rnacentral:snoRNA from 14 species